rnacentral:lncRNA from 1 species
AGGAACGAGUAGCGGUGGCUGAAGAACGAGCAGGAGCUUGAAUUUCAGUUUUCUUAUGAGGAAUUUUCCAGAAAAGAUAUCUUCACUGUGAAAUAACUAAAUAAAUGCCCACUCAGUACAGUCACUGUCUCCCUUUUGGAACUUGAUGGCACCUUAAGCCCAGGUUUGCCUCCACUCUAGAAACUCAUCAGAGUGAUGCCCUUCUCAAAUGGGGGAGGUCCCAAAGCGGAUAUCCUGGCAGUGUGAAAGGCCGGCUAAAGGUUUGUGCCAAGAGGAUCUGUGGAAUGCAUCUCCUACAGCUGGUGCUGCUGAGUAACCACUCUGAUCUGGCAUCUUCUUUGAUCAAGUUACAGAGCAGAGUUUCCAGGGCUGGGGAUUGAAGUCCUGCCUCCUCCCUUUGUCUCUGGUUGUCCUCGCUUUCCCUGCACUCCAAACACAGAGCUGAGACUUCCACCUAAUGUAGAAAGCUAGCACGAGCCGGCGCUGACAGAUGGAAGACUUGAGAUGUUACAAGAUUAUAUAUGGAAACACAAAAGGAGUGGAGUUGCUGGGUCAUAUGGCAAUUCAUUUGAGGAACUGAGAAGCUUAUUCCAUGGAGGCUGAACUGUUUUAUAUUCCCACCAGCAACGUUAGAGACGGGGUUUCACCGCGUUAGCCAGAAUGGUUUCUAUCUCCUGACCUCAUGAUCCGCCCACCUCGGCCUCCCAAAGUGCUGGGAUUACAGGCGUGAGCCACUGUGCCUGGCCAAACGCUGGUAGGUUUUGAGUGAGACCACAUUACAUUUAAAUAUAUUUACAAUGUUUUCUGCUCUAUUCUUUAGUAGACUUUUCCUCACGUGGUCCUACGCAUUUCUUUCUAAGUUUAUUUUCAUAUAGCCUAUCCCUGUCUACAAUUUAAAUUGGG